UACAGAGGUGGCAAGCGUUGUUCGGAAUUACUGGGCGUAAAGGGCGCGUAGGCGGCCAUCUAAGUCAGACGUGAAAUCCCCCGGCUUAACCUGGGAACUGCGUCUGAUACUGGAAGGCUCGAGUUUGGGAGAGGGAUGCGGAAUUCCAGGUGUAGCGGUGAAAUGCGUAGAUAUCUGGAGGAACACCGGUGGCGAAGGCGGCAUCCUGGACCAAUAUUGACGCUGAGGAGCGAAAGCCAGGGGAGCAAACGGG
rnacentral:rRNA from 1 species